CUCUACCAUGCUGGUUAGCUGCUGGUUGAAGAAGACGCACAGCUUUGUGUGUGCACUACCAAGUUAAGUUAAAGAGCUAGGUAGUUGGCUACGAAGUUAGAUGGUUAGGAAGUUACCAAAAGCUACUGGCUAGCAAACUAAUCUUCAUUCGUUAGUAAUGAGUACAUUAGUUAGUUUGUAAGCUUGUUAUAAGUGUGUCCACUUAGAUAUUUAGCUAGGUAGUUAGCCAGGUAGUUGGUCAAUUAUUAAGUAAAUUAGUUAGAUGGUAGGUUAUCUAGUUGGUUUCCUCUCAACACGCCAGUGUGUUUAUAGAUGGUUAGCUGGUUAUCUGGUUAGUCAGUCAGUUAGCAGGUUAUCGGGGUAGUCAGUUGGUAAGCAGGAUAUCUGGGUAUUCAGUGAGUUAGCAGGUUAUCUGGGUAUUCAGUGAGUUAGCAGGUUAUCUGGGUAGUCAGUGAGUUAGCAGGUUAUCUGGGUAGUCGGUGAGUUAGCAGGUUUUGUGGGUAGUCACUGGGUUAGCAGGUUAUCCGGGGAGUCGGUGAGUUAGCA